ensembl:lncRNA
AAUAAAGCCACAGCCUGACCUGCUGCUGCGUAUGCCUUGCCAUUUAAGCAAGAUGCAUUGCUUGAAGGGGCUUAGAUGGCAAGGAGGGAGAUUAAGAGAGGAUGUCUCCCCCGCAGAAUGAAAGCUCUUUCUGCAGGGGGCAUCCUCUCAUAGCCGUUUUCGCGCAUCGCCUCGAUGUCGGCAAAACUCUUAUGCUGAAACCGAUGGAUGCGAGAAGAAAACGGCCUCUUUCAUUUCCUUUCGAUCUCUGUAUGGAGAUCAGGCAGAAAUGGAAGGCUCACCUGAGCUGGAGGGCUAUGGUCGGAAAGAUAACGCUCAUCGAGGCGCGAUCCAUAAACUCCAACAGCUCUACAUACGCAGGGCAGGAGAAUUGAGAAGGCUCAGCCUCAGCUUCUUCACCAUCCUCAAAUAUCUCCUGCUUUUCCUGGGUAAAAACCCAGCAGAGCACUAACCUCAGUAUCAGAAAGUGUUAAAGAUAUAACAUAAUCCUCCUGAGGCUCUCUCUCGUCCGCUGCCGACGAGCACGAAAGGGACAAUCCCUCUCUAAAUCAUUCAGACAGAUCCACCUGAAAUUCUCACGAGCUCAUUCUCUUCCGUGCCUCAGCAGCGGCGGGUCCUGAACCACAGGAAGCAGAUGCUUGCCUUUUUUCUUUUUUUUUUUUCUCGGAAAGAGAGACGAAUGAGAGCGGAGCUUUUUCAUUGAAAAAAUGCUCACAAUGCAUGCAAAUUGCCUCCUCAAAGAUGUUGCGUGCGUGCUCUUUACCCAAACAAAUGACGCAAAGAUCGUGUGUGUCAUCGGGUGUCAAAUAACGCCGACACGGAUGCACACAUUGUCUAAACGCUUGCUAGUAGUCACCAUGAUAGACAGAGAAAGAGUGCUCUUACCGGUUCUUUCAGAUGCACACUCAAAACAAAACAGUCAGUGAAGACGAAGAAGAGAAUGAUGUGUUCUCCCGGUACCUGUUUAUAGUCGCGCCGGUAGUGACGUCAGAGGCUGUCGCUGGCCAACUCUUCUUCUUCUUCUUCUUUUUACGGUGGAUCGCAAACUUUUAGUGCAUUACCGCCACUUAUACCUCUAAUGGACCAUUGACACUCUAACUCGAUUACCUAUAAUCUCUCUAAAUCACUAAAAUCCAAUAUAACGUUAAGAUUCUUCAUCGAGCUUCAUCUGACGCUUUGUCUCCAGCUCCUCCGUCCACCCUCAGUCCCGCCGGUCAACUCGUUGGUGUUUUUUCAAUGUAUGCUUCAGACACGGUCACGACGAGGUGUUCCCCAAAGCGACCCCUAGAGGACGCAGUUCGAAGUUCCCUUGAAAGGGAACUGCAAAGAGUUUGAAGUUAUCAUCAUCUACAGUGCAUAAUAUCAUCCAAAGAU